rnacentral:misc_RNA from 1 species
UAUUUCUCAGUUCCUUCACUUCCCAAGCUAGGAUCUUCAAGGCGCAGAAUCAACCCUUCUUAUUCCCUUUGGUAGUCUCCAAGAGCUCUAAAUGUUACUCCUCUAGCUUGUCCACCACAAGCUCACCAAGGUUCACCAAUGGCAGCCCCAAAUCUCCCUUUGACUUGCUUGCCAACCACUUGAACUUUUGAGGUUUUGCUUUAGGUGAGGUUAUAUGGAUGUAUUGUGACUAGAAACCCUUUCUAGCACUAUCAAUUCAAGAGAAACCAAGCUUUAUCUUUCAAGAAUCAAUGAAAAACAAGAAGAAGAAGAGAGAGAGGGAGGGUUG